rnacentral:rRNA from 1 species
UACGAAGGGGCUAGCGUUGCUCGGAAUCACUGGGCGUAAAGCGCACGUAGGCGGACUCUUAAGUCGGUGGUGAAAUCCUGGAGCUCAACUCCAGAACUGCCUUCGAUACUGGGAGUCUCGAGUUCGGGAAGAGGUGAGUGGAACUGCGAAGUGUAGAGGUGAAAUUCGUAGAUAUUCGCAAGAACACCAGUGGCGAAGGCGGCUCACUGGCCCGAUAACU